rnacentral:pre_miRNA from 2 species
UAGAUUCGAGUCCGGGUCGGAGAUGUUAUCACAGUUCUGACAGGACAUCGAACCUGCA